AGCAAGGCCAAGCAGAGAAGCAGGGCAGCUGUCAGGAGAAUUCAGGCUGGGGUGGGCUGAGUGCCUGGGCCGGCAGCCUGCAACAGGGAGGAACCCUGCACAACCGUGACCCACCCCUCGUCCAGCUGCUUGGGAGGAGGAAGGAAACUAGCAUUUUCCCACUGCCAUUGUGUGCCUGACAGGUUCAUCAAUCUUAGCUCAGCGCAUCCUCUUAACCUCUCAAGCUGGUUGAGAGGCUCUUUUUUUUUUUAACCAAAGAGGAAGAGGAGAGGAGAAGCGUCCAAGGGCACGGGGAGGCACGGAGCCAGCCUACAAGCCUGGAGUCUCGAUGCCGAAGCCCACCUUCCUUCCAUGGCUUUGGAUAGACCUCGCUGGCCCAGCCGCAUAUCAGCGGCAGCAUCUGGCUUAUCCUUAAUCAACACGUGCGUGGCCAGAGGAGACAGAAAUGCUCGAAGAGGCAGCCAGCUCCUGGCGCUGAUGGCUUAACAAAAGGGGAAGCUUGAGCCCAAGCCUCCUUCCUGGUUCGAGUAUCCCUCGCUGGCCGACCCCGUCUUUCACCUUCCGGCUCCCAGGGACCUGGACAGACCCUUGGCCUGGAGGGGGCAGCCUGUCCCAGUGCCAGCUCAGCGGGCUUGGCCCUUGUAACAAUAGCUGGAAGGGCCUUUUGGAGCAAGUACUUCCUGAAGUGCCCAGAACAGCCGCCGCCGUCCUGGGGCGCAGGAACAAUCACCGCGCAGGCCAGCUCCCGCCCUCCUGGGAGCCUCGGGGACUGAGGCUUCGGGCUCCAGGAGGGCUGCGAGGGUCAGGAGGGCCAGGCAGACCCGAAGAGCAGGGCUCGGACCGACCACGAGCCUGCACAGUGCAGGCUUUGUAAACAGGGAAAGGGAAAAGGAAAAAACAAAAAACAGCCAAAAGGAAGAAAUAAUUUCUGGAAUCAGAUGAUGCACUCAUUUAAUCAUUCAGCAACACUGAAGGAGGCCUGAUCUGUGCCUCCAGUCCAUCAGUCACAACCAUGAGUGAGGAGUGAAUGAAAUUCUCUGAUGACGUGGAGAUGCUUCCUCACGAUGGUGAACUCUUCCUGAAUAUUGUAGGAAAAGACACUGAAGGGCAGGCAUGAGGCUGGAAAGGCAGAAGGAGUCUCUAGAAAUAGGAUCCCUACUUUCUUCCUCUGGGAGACUGGUGUAACACUGACCUCUAGCUGGAUGGAGAGAGUGAAUUCAGCUGGUGCCUCUACUCUGGCUGGAUGUUGUCGAACGUUGGCUGGUGUGAAAAAAAAAGAGAACGUUUGGAAAUCUCUUCCUUAAGGAUGUUUCCGGAUCAUGUAGAAGGAAAUUCAAGAGCCAUAAUAUUCUGGCUUCCAGCGUGACACGUGACCAGAGUAGGUGUCCAUCCCAAACCAGGAGCCUUCCUCUUCAUCUCUCAGUUCAUAGGCAGGCCUCCUUCUGGACCCAGGAGAGGAAAUGACAGAAGAUAACAGAUAUGGAAGUGAGCUGGAAGGUUAAAAUAUAAUUCCUCACAGACACAAAACUUUAGAAAAAUUCCUGUUCUCUUUUAGAUUAAUUUAACAUAACAAAUCGAGACACAUGUGAGACUCUGUCAUCAGGACAGAGAUCUCCUGGUGAUGUUAAUAUAUCACAUCUCUUUCACAUUGUCACCAAUACAGAAAGAACCCCAAAGUUGUACGUGUUGUACCAAUAUUGCCGGGCAGUCAACAACUGGUUUCCCUUAAACAUCGCUGUUUCCAAUUCUUCUAAAAUUACAGAUCGUACUUGUUUUGUUUCACAUGUGUGUGUUUUCCCCUUUUGGUAACUGAAAGCAGGUUUAUCUGUGACUCUUUUGGCGUAGAUAAUUUUUGCUAAUUGGUCUUUUAAUGUCUUACACAUUGACUAGGAGUUUAUUGACUCUUGUUUAUAAAUGAAUACUAAUAAAGACAGGUGACAUAAUCAUCAUAUUUAAGGAUUUCUGGUAUGGUUAGCAUUUGAACAAUGACCUAUAAUUUGCUAGCAUCAAUGUCUCAUUUGUAGAAAUGGAAGAGUCAUUCUCACAUUCUGUUUCAUAACAUUUGUUUAUGCAGACUUGCAGCACAAGUUAAUUAUGGGAACCUAAAGGAAUAGUCACAUGAUUGUCUUCUCUAGAUAGGCUUUUGCUUUCGACAUCUGAACCCCUGUACUAUCACUCCUUAAAAUGAUUCAAUA